rnacentral:ncRNA from 1 species
AAAAAUCUUACUAUUAUAUUUGUAUCAAAAUUUGUAUAAGGGUUUUAUAACUUAUACAGCCAUUCUGCUCGAAAUGGUGUAGCAUUGGAAACAAUGGUACUACGAAUUGUAGCAAGGUGCUGGGCGACCUAAAACGGCUCUGGAGGUGCUCUGAGUGGGUACUUUAUUAGGGUUAUAAUUUAGAAAGUAAGCUAAAACUCUAGGUGUUGGGCAGGGCUAACACUGGCAUAUAGUUAAAUAUAUGCGAUAAAGUAAGC